rnacentral:rRNA from 1 species
AGGACUAACGCUGGCGGCGUGCCUAACACAUGCAAGUCGAACGAAGUAGCAAUACUUAGUGGCAGACGGGUGAGUAACACGUAGUCAACCUGCCCUUCAAUGGGGGAUAACUAGCCGAAAGGUUAGCUAAUACCGCAUACGAUCUCUGAGUGGCAUCACUCGGCGAUGAAAGGAGUAAUCCGUUGAAGGAGGGGACUGCGUCCCAUUAGUUAGUUGGUGGGGUAAUGGCCUACCAAGACUCCGAUGGGUAGCUGGCUUGAGAGAGCGACCAGCCACACUGGAACUGAGACACGGUCCAGACUCCUACGGGAGGCAGCAGUGAGGAAUUUUCCGCAAUGGGGGAAACCCUGACGGAGCGACGCCGCGUGUGGGAAGAAGGCCUUGGGUCGUAAACCACUGUCGAGGGGACGAUAUUGACGGUACCCCCUGGAGGAAGCCCCGGCGUAACUACGUGCCAGCAGCCGC